UCUUUGGGAAUCUGAUGGAAGUUGGGAACCCUUUCCUCAGAAGAAUGUGCGCACGCCCACCAUCUGUAGGCAACUUCAGACCUCACAGACACUGCAAUCCUUUAGGGCUCCACAGGUCAAGAACCCUGGCCCACCUCUACUGAGAGGGCAGCGGACGUGGCCACGGCUCUGGGCUGCGCGUACCACGACACAGGGGAUGUCCUUGGUCUGGUCUGGGCUGCAGAGCAGGGGUGCCGUGCUCUGAAGGCUAUGGCUGUGUCAGCACAUGAACGCUCUCUAGUUUCUAUUCCCUCAGACCGGAAGGGGCACCUGAGGAGGCCUUUGGCCAGCGGCUCUGUUUCUGAUCUGAGGAAGCUGGUCAAAGAAGUGUCAGUGAUCUCUUUAAUGCUUUACACAGGUUCAGCAAAACUAGGCCUCAGGCUGGGAGUUCCCUGGCGGUCCAGUGGAUAAGACUUCAUGCUUCUGACACAGGAUGGGACUCUGAUAAGAUACUCGAACAUGCUAUAAAGCACAUACAACCAGCACUCUUCAUUUCAGAGAGAAGGUCACGGGCCCAUAACUUCAGGGACAUCAGACCCGGUUGCUGAGCCACCCUAUGCCAACUUUGGCCAUGAAUUUGCAGAAGAAAAGAAAUGCAAGACCUAUACCCCGGACUGCGAGCCCCACAACUAAAACCUUCCCCGAUUCCCCAAGGAGGGGGCACAGUUCUUGAGGCGUUAGCCUACUGUGUCUUCCCUUUGCCUGGCAAAGAAAAUUAAAAGCCUCUCUAUUUCUUAUCUUCCAAUUCUCUGUCUCCGUAUU